UAAAGCGUGCGCAGGCGGCUUUGCAAGACAGAUGUGAAAUCCCCGGGCUCAACCUGGGAACUGCAUUUGUGACUGCAAGGCUAGAGUACGGCAGAGGGGGAUGGAAUUCCGCGUGUAGCAGUGAAAUGCGUAGAUAUGCGGAGGAACACCAAUGGCGAAGGCAAUCCCCUGGGCCUGUACUGACGCUCAUGCACGAAAGCGUGGGGAGCAAACAGGAUUAGAUACCCUGU
rnacentral:rRNA from 1 species